rnacentral:rRNA from 1 species
AGAGUUUGAUCCUGGCUCAGGAUGAACGCUGGCGGCGUGCUUAACACAUGCAAGUCGAACGGGAAAUAUUUCAUUGAGACUUCGGUGGAUUUGAUCUAUUUCUAGUGGCGGACGGGUGAGUAACGCGUGGGUAACCUGCCUUAUACAGGGGGAUAACAGUCAGAAAUGGCUGCUAAUACCGCAUAAGCGCACAGAGCUGCAUGGCUCAGUGUGAAAAACUCCGGUGGUAUAAGAUGGACCCGCGUUGGAUUAGCUUGUUGGCAGGGUAACGGCCUACCAAGGCGACGAUCCAUAGCCGGCCUGAGAGGGUGAACGGCCACAUUGGGACUGAGACACGGCCCAGACUCCUACGGGAGGCAGCAGUGGGGAAUAUUGCACAAUGGGGGAAACCCUGACGCAGCGACGCCGCGUGAAGGAAGAAGUAUCUCGGUAUGUAAACUUCUAUCAGCAGGGAAGAUAGUGACGGUACCUGACUAAGAAGCCCCGGCUAACUACGUGCCAGCAGCCGCGGUAAUACGUAGGGGGCAAGCGUUAUCCGGAUUUACUGGGUGUAAAGGGAGCGUAGACGGUGUGGCAAGUCUGAUGUGAAAGGCAUGGGCUCAACCUGUGGACUGCAUUGGAAACUGUCAUACUUGAGUGCCGGAGGGGUAAGCGGAAUCCCUAGUGUAGCGGUGAAAUGCGUAGAUAUUAGGAGGAACACCAGUGGCGAAGGCGGCUUACUGGACGGUAACUGACGUUGAGGCUCGAAAGCGUGGGGAGCAAACCAGGAUUAGAUACCCUGGUAGUCCACGCCGUAAACG